ensembl:lncRNA
GACUCAGCCAAAUUAUAUGUGGGAACCCCAUCAAGGCCCUUCGUGCAAGGAGGCUAAAGCUAGGUGUAUGUUUUUCCUGUACACUUCGUGUUCCUGCAUAGUCACCCACAUAAAUCUGAUGAUAAACUGAGUUUCCACUGUAGUUUUGGUGGCCCCCUCUCUUCUACGGACCCAAAGCCCCAUGUUCUUAUCAACCUGACUAACCAAAGUCCAAGUCAAAAUGGCAACAUUUGGUGGUAUAUCUACAAUAACUACCUAGCAGAAGAUUUAUCAGUGGUUUGAUGUUGGCAUAGCCAGGUCUAUGAGGAGGUUGCCGUUGAUUAAAUAAUUACAGAGUGUGUUGCUCUCAGUCCCAUGGCCGUGCAGGUCAGCCUGUUCAUGUCAGCAGGCCAGUAACUGAGUGAGAGAACACCCACAGCGUGUGCAGUCUGGCUUACAGGGUUGGCUCCUAUGGUCCCUGAGGUUCAGCAUGGAGGAAGUUCCUGAGGUCAUCCAGGUUACUUGUGUCAUUUUUCAGCCGCCUGCAGAGAGCUCCUUGAAACUGUGCAGUCUGAAGAUAGAAAACCCUGACAUCUCUGUAGGAGGAGGAGGUGUGAGCCAGGAAGACGUCUUCUCUGCACCGAGAGUGUGGGGAGAGCAGCAUAAGUGGCGGUGAGAGUGUGGGAGAAUUCUUGUUAUGCAAUAGAGCAGGGAUUCGUUUUCUGCUGUGAAAUAAAACAAACUCUUUGGCCACCUGGUGGUAGUUCCGUGGGAUAGCCUUCUGCCUUCCCACCCUGCAGGCUGGGACGGCUCGUCCCUGCUGGGAAGCCAGUGGGAUGGGGAAAGGAACAGACAUAACGUCUGAUCCAUUUAGGACGAUUCUGCAUAUCUGCAGGUAAGUGGCAAAACGCUGUGGGUGGCUAAAUACACAGACUCAGUGUUUGCCUGCACUUGGUGCACUGCAUAUUCUCAACUCAAGGCUAUACUCAAUGGCAAAACGCUUCCCAUUGUCCAGGUGCCUGCACACAGCUCAGCAAGGAAUCAUCCCAGCAGCAAAGGUAGCUACAGAUGAUGAGGAAGAGGAUGAAGGCUGCAUCCCGGCCAACAGCAGUGAGAGUGAGCUGAAGGACACCUCAGAUGAGGAUCUCACUGGAGAGAUUUCACCUAUUUCUUCUUGCCACUCCUGUCUCUCACAGUCUUCCCCAGAUUCAUUACAUGCUCAGGAAGGCAUAGUGUUCCCCAGCCAGAACUGCUGUCUAAUUCCAUCUCCUCCAAAAACCCCUUCACCUGCAACUCUGAUGGGUUUGGCAGCAAGACCCCAGAAACUGAGGAAGCACAGGGCAAGGUGCCUGAAGCUAACCAGCCCAGAGGAGGGCAGGCAGCCCCAGCAAUGCCAGGCAUGGGUGACUCAAGAGACUUCAGCUCAGCUGCUGAGUAAGGGCCUUGCUCUGCUGAGCCUGCAUAGCGUGCCAGCAGCACAGGAGCCUCUGCCCCUCAGCCCCCAAGGGCAGUGCCAACCUGAUGGCAGCACUGCCAGGCAGAGGCCUAUCUCAGGAACUGCAGCUGUUGGAUCAGCAGGCAUCAGCCCCACCCUGGACAGGAGUCCACACAGUGUGAGCAGCCAUCCCCAGCCAGUUGUCCUCUCACCCCCAAGACCCUCAGGGAGAGUUGAGCUGCUGAAUGCCAUAUGCCCCCCAGCUGCUGGGGCAGUGCUACAGAAGCUGCCAGCCAGACCCACUGUCUCAUCAGCAUCUCAAGGCAGGAGUCCCCGCUCAUAG